rnacentral:rRNA from 1 species
CCUACGGGAGGCAGCAGUGAGGAAUCUUGCACUUUGGGCGAAAGCCUGAUGCAGCGACGCCGCGUGGAGGAUGAAGGUCUUCGGAUUGUAAACUCCUGUUAAGUGGGAAGAAAAGUCUAUUCCUAAUACGAGUAGAUUAUGACGGUACCAUUAGAGAAAGCACCGGCUAACUUCGUGCCAGCAGCCGCGGUAAU